rnacentral:lncRNA from 1 species
CAAAUUUUACUGUUAUUAAUGUAUGUAAGUUUAGAAAGAACAGUAGUUAAUGACGUGUCAUGAGCAAAUCUUUGCAUGCAGAAUAUAUAAGUCCUUGAAAACACGUCCAUGCAUGUAUAACUUUUGCUAGAUAGCAACAGUAAAUGUGUAAUACAUGGAUAACUCAUACACUGAUUUAUUACAGCAUAUAGUACUACUUGCUCAUAACCUAUUUUAGCCGAAACAUAAGAGGUAAUGAGCUUAUAGAUACAUACACUCGUAACAUUAUUAUUUUCAGCAGUUCUUAUUUAUUGUAAUUACACUACAUGACGUCUUAGUUUCCGGUAUUCUCAACUGGAGGGUGUCCAGGGUGGUGACCGUAUGGAGGAUUAGGCUUAUGUGUAGGCGGUGGCCUCACGACGAUUGGUGGCAAGUGUGGUGGCUUAUGUUCUGGCACAGGCUUCUCAGUCUUCGGUGGUUGGUACACCGGGCUCGGCUUGUGCUCCCCUGUCGCUGGCUCGUGAACCGGAGGUUUAUGCUCUGUUGGUGGCUUGUGAACCGGUGGCCUGUGAAUCGGUUGUGGUUUAUGAAUAGGAUGGGCCGGGUAAUGAUCAUCGGUUAAGGAGGGAGUGUUGUGAACCGGUGGUUUGUGAAUUGGUGGCUUGUGAACGGGUGGUUUCUGCUCUGGUGCUGGCUUCUGAACAGGUGGUUUGUACACUGGUGGCUUGUGAAUAGGGUAAUGAUCUUCAGUCACGGAGUUGGUUGCUUCCACCGGAGGUUUAUAUUCGGAAGGUGGUUUGUGAACGGGUGGUGUAUAAACUGGUGGCUUGUGAACGGGUGGUGUAUAAACGGGAGGCUUGUGAAUUGGUGGUUUGUGAACGGGUGGUGUAUAAACGGGAGGCUUGUGAAUUGGCGGGUGAGAAUGAAAAUCGGCUAGGGAUGGAGCUGCGAAAAUCGCAACUCCUAAAAUGAGGAGUAGGUUCAUGUGUGUGAGAGACAUCUUGAUAACCGACGAGGUGAGAGUGUUGAUGUUGUAUUUUCCUCAUGCAGUGAUUGGGUUUUUAUAGGAGUUGAUGGACACUGUUCGGCUGGAUUGAUCGUCAACAAGUUUGAAUUAUUUUGCUUUUAGACGUAGAGGAUGUAGAGAAUUUCAACAUUGAGAUUAGGACAUGUUGAAAAUAUUGAUGCUUGUUGUUUUUAUUCAUGAAAAAGAUGAGGUUUGCUUAUAGUACAGUUGUGUCGAAAUAUUGGACUGCAUAUCAAAGCUUGCCACGUCCAUCCUAGGACACUGAUCAUAAAAUCUGAACAGAUAUGAAAAUCAAGAAAAUUGAAAGAAAACAUUUGAACUCGGGCGCCAAAGAAAUUUUACUAUGUAGAACUUAUCAUUUUUCAUAUAUUAUUUAACAAAAACCGACUUGCAAAAUAGCAAGUGAAUUAGGUGAUAUGCUCAAGUACGCACAGAAGAGUGAGGGAACCGACAGAAUUUUGGCUGUAUGCAUGAAUGUGAAACUGGGACUAGUCAGUGAGGACUGAGGAGUGUCUAAUUGUCAAAAUAAACGACUAGGAUUACUGACCACAUAUCUAUACCAUACAGUAUAUAGGUACGAAGAAGACAAAAUAAGAAAAAAUCACAUGGACAAACACCGGAGCCUAGUGCUGUAAUCCGAUCCGGGCAGCUCGCGAGCUCGCCCGGCUCGAACUCGUUUUAAUGGGCUCGGCUCGGCUCGUUUAGUUAAUCGAGCUCGAGUUCGGGCAGAGGUUUUGGCUCGUUUUGUUAAACGACUCGCCCGACUCGUUAAACUCGGCUCGUUUAACUAAACGAGCCAGCUCGACUCGACUCGUGAAAAUAAACGAGUCGAGUUCGGGCAAAGGUGUAGGCUCGUUUUCUUAAACGAGCCGGCUCGGCUCGACUAAAUAAAACUCGGCUCGAAUUAUGCCCGGCUUGAAACUCGGCUCGCCCGGACCGAAUAACAACCCUACCGGAGCCUGUUGUGCUGGCGUAAACACAAACAGGCUCAAACAUCUUCAACGGAUUAAAAAUUACGAAUGUUAUACUUUUAUACAGGAAAAAAAAUCCUAAAAAUAAGUAAUAUAACCAUACUUUAUUGAAGCACUAAAAUCCGUUUCGCGCUCUCGUGUCCCCAUGUAUACUAUUGGCUGGACGGAGAGAGUAAUUUUGAUCAACUAAUUAAUCAUGUGAUACCCUAAAUUAUAAUUUUGAUUAAUAAAUUAGUCGUGUAAUAUCUUAAAUUAUAAUUUUGAGCUAUGUCAAAAAUUUGUUCCAGUAAAGUUCUUAUUCAUUUCUAAACAUAAUAUAAUUGAAUACCAUCAGAUUUUAAAGUAUAAUUUAAAUUUUCAAUUAAACACUCGUAGAUUAUGUUACAUUUUUAUAAUCUGAAUCAAAUAUCCUCAGAUUUCAUGAAUGAAAAAUAUAUUUUAAAAUUAUAAUUGAAUACAACCCAUAAGUUCAGCGUAAAUGUAAAACUUACAUGAGGUUAGUGUAAAUGAUUCAUCCCGGAUAUUUGAGAUAACCAUUAACCAAACUAGUUGCAGAAGUGAUGAUACGACAUCAAUAUAAAAUUUAAAUUUCAUUUGAAUCUGUAUUUGAUCAAAUAAUAUAUUUGAAUAUAUAAGGACGAAUUUGAAUUUUAGUUGAAAUUCAGAAGAUCCAAAUGCUAGUAUAAAGUUGAAAAUAUGAAAUGACUUAAAAUUAUGUCAUUUGAAAUAAAAUAGAUAUUUCAGAAUACAAUCUUAAAGAAUUAUGCGAUCUUUUGCGGACUGAAAAACCAAGGCAGCCUAUUGCUGUCAAAAAACAGAGAGCUCAAACAUGGUUGGAUUCCCAAGUUGAAGUCUUUUGAUAGUAGAUGAUAGCAUUUCCUUGUGGCAGGUAAAUGGAAUUUGUGAAAAUUGAUCUUUCUCUUCUCUCUGUGUCUUGGCUCAAAGGCUGCUGCCAGCUUGACUCAACUCUGUGAUAUAUAGUAAAUUUGAAUUAAAGAGGAAUAAUAAAAUGUUGUCAAGUAGUGUUUUCUUUCUCUUUUCUGUUUGUCAAAACUUAAGAGUUGAGAACAAAAUUGAUGAGAAGAAAUUAAAAUCUUAGAGUUGAUAUCCUCAUCCCAUUAAGAUCCUUGUUCACGAACUUUAAAUAGAACUGCUGCAACAAAUUCAUACUAUUCAUUCAUCAAAUCCUACGUUGAAUUCAAACAAAUUUGAACUACAGCCCUCAUCAAUUUAGGAAUGAAUAGUUCCCAUCUCUACUUAUCUUCUUUGCUGAAAAAUUUGCACUCUUUUAACACUAAAAACUAAAUUUACCACCUGAUUUUAUUGGUACCAACCUAGCUAAAGAUACACACUUUCCUAACACAACUAGCUGAUAAUAAGAACAAGAGCAUAUGAAAUAAAUAGUACUCCCUCCGUCCCUUUUUACUUGUCCCUUUUGGAAAAAAAACGCAUCUUAAGAAAAUGUUAGUUGGAUAUCUUGUUUUCAUACAUAUCCCUAAUAAAUGUAAUGAAUUAGAUAGAGUUGUGUGUAUAUAUAUGUUAGUCAAACAUUGAAAGUUGUUACUUUUUGAAAAAACAUACAAAAAGUUGCUUUGAAAAGAGAAGUGGACAAGUAAUUUGGGACAAUUUUUUUUUUCAAAGUGGACAUAUAAAAAGGGACGGAGGGAGUAUGCUACUGAGCUAUUCCCUUGAGCUGAAGAGCCCACUCUACCCGAGCAACGGUUGGGCUCACCCAGAAUCCCAACAGCUUCACUUCCUCUGGAUUUUCUUCAGGACGCAGUGCGACAGAAUGCACUUUCAACGAUAGAUUAAAAUCAUAUAGAACAGUGUUAAGUAUGAAGCUGUUUAUGUGACACCCAAAUUGAGUUGGAAAAAAAAAAGGAGUAAACAUGCUGCAUGAGCAAACAUAACCACUUACAUCCUCCGCAUUACAGGACGAAAAUAGUAUCUUUACGGAAACCUAACUGUGCCAAUUCCAGAAGUACGAAACUGAAAGAAAUAUGAGCUCCAGCUAUGAACAAUGGAAAACCACUUACCCUACCUGUUUGCCUGAACUAGUCUCCGCAUCUAUUUCUACAUGGCUUUGCUGCUUCAGAUCAGAAGAUACUGAACACGAUUGUGGAACUGAAAAGGAAGUCAUGCUGCAAGUUGCUUGUUUCUUUGCGGAAGAGGAUACAGCUGUGGAACACAAGUCAUCAUCUAUCUUUGAAGUCUCGCCUUCACUGUUACUGAUUUGCAUGUUCCGUUGAUGUUGUUCUUCUUCAAGAGGUAGUAAUCUCUUGCGACUAGAGAAGCCAUUCUUGAAAUUUUGCAUGGAAGGUACCUGUUGGUCGUGGGAGGAGGCCGCAGAGCAAGGAGCCUUCUCCUUUAGAACAACCUUUGGAAUCACUAAAUUGUCAAUGCAAUCAGAGUUAUCACCAACUUCAUCAGUCCCAUCAGAUUUCUCUGCUCUUGCAACAGCUUCUCUCUCCCUCAUGAUCAAUAAAGCCUCAGUUAGGCGUUCUCUUGCUAAAUCGAUAUCAACAAUAGGCACUGGAUAGUUUAAUCCCAAUUCCACUCCUGCAGAUCUAAGUACACUAGGAGGUGCAUCCCAAGGAUGAUGAAUCCACUCGGAGGGCAUCCUUGCUAGUUCAGGCAGCCAUUGCCUCACAUAUUCACCCUCUGGAUCAAAUUUAAAUCCCUGAACCUGGAUCGUAAUUGAAGAACAAUUAAGAUCUGAGGUCUCAACAAAAAGCAGUGUAAAAUUACUUCCAUCUAGUAAGGUAUAGCUCAGUAUAGCAUCAACAACAAAGUGACUUAUUUUUAUAAGUAUCCUACUUGAUAUUAGUAUUUUCAAUAAGCUUAUUUGAAUCCCCCAUGACAAAAAAGAGAAGCAAUCACCAUAGUACCUUCAAGCUUUCUGUAACUCAAAAAUAUAUUUUCCCUCCCAUUUAGUUAUCUCCUCAGGCAUGAGUCUCAUAAGGAAACUCUUCAUUUGAAAAGAUUUUCUUUCAGUGCAAAAAUGUAACUAUACAAGGCAGAAGUGUCAAAGAAGAUCAGUCAAUUUAAUUGUAUACGGAUUCAGUAUAAAGGAUUAGAAAACAACACACUGUCAAACCAUUCUGAAAUUGUGAGUGCCUGUUCUUCCAAAAAUGAUUUUAUUAUAACAAACUUACGAUUCAUCUCUUAAAAACACUACAACCCUUCAAUAAUCAAAAAAUCAGAAACCUGACAUAAACUAAAACUAUACAUGUGAUAUUUCUUUGUGCUAAUUAGGCAUACUUACUUAAUUUUUCAAUAUAUACACAAUAGGAGCAUUGUAAAAUAUAGCCUGUAUAGGAAGGGAAUUAACGUGUACCUGUGGGCUAUCUAGACGCUCAAGCUCAUGUCCAUCUGGCAAGCUACCUGAUAUGUACUGCCAGCCAAGAAUAUCAGUUUCCAAAUCUGAGUCCAGAAGGGUAUCCCAGAAAUAUUUCAUUCCCCAUUGCCAUGGUAGAAGCAAAAACUUUACAAAAAACCCAGAAACAAUCACUCUUAUCCUAUUGUGCAUCCACCCAGUUGCCCAAAGCUCUCUCAUACCUGCAUCAACUAAUGGAUAACCAGUACGACCCUGUCUCCAAGCCUUAAAAUGGGCUUGAUCUGCUUUCCAGGGGAAAUACUUUAGGUUGCUCAGCAAUGAUCUUUCAUGAGUAAAUGGGUAGUUAAAACAAAUGUAGCGAGAAUAUUCUCUAAAACCUAUAGCCCGAAGAAACAGUGAAACACUUUCUUGUCCAACACAAUUCCCUUCUUUUGCCCACAGUAAUUGCUUCAUGCGCACACACUGGAAUACUCUCCUCACACUCAUUUCCCCAAAAUGAAGAUAUGGUGAAAAGAGCGACGUUGUGUUCCCUGCAACUGUUGCCCUCUCCUUUGAGUAGUCGAUCAGAUUUUCUUCUACGAAUGCCGAUAGAGCCUUAUCAGCAUUGCUCCAACCAGGAGACCAUCCUCUUCCUAAUAAAGCAUUGCUAGCUUUUUCCAUUUCAUUUUCAAGCCCCAGAUCAUCAAUUGAGCAAUUGUCUACUAUUCCUGUCAUUUGCACAUUGGAAUCCACACUUAAAUUGCGCAGCUAUAUACUGAGUUUAUUUUAUCUUCUUCUAAUGCUAUAAUACUCUAUUGCUUUAGGAAUACAAUUAUGUAUCAUCAUGAAUUUGUCCAUAUUAUGGCUGGCAAUGGGGUCAAAAUUUAAUUAGAAGAAAGCAUGCAAAUUUGACAAGAUUGCACAGUGAGAGUACCUUCAACAGGAACUAAUCGCCAUGGAGGAAGAUGUGAAUCGGGUUCUUUUUGCAUGCUUAAGCACCUCGUCCAGUAUGCAUCAAAGGUUGUAAAGGCAUGUCCUUCAUUAUCGUAUAUUUCCCAUGGUUCAUACAAUAGAUCUCCAUUGUAGCUUUGCACUGAUAUACCAAGCUCCCCAAGCUUUUGUUUGAUAGUGUGAUCUCGAACAAGUGAAACAGGAUCUGGAUAAUAAUUAAAAAGCCAGAGACAAUAAGAUAAACCUAGAGACUGCAAUUUGUUGGGAGGGGGAUAUGUACUACACUUUUUGAUGUCAUAGUAAGCAAUUGAGCUUCUAUAUAAACAGUAUUCUGUAUUUAUGUGCAUGUCAAGACAGAUGCAUGAAUAACAUAUGCUUUCUAGUUGAAGGCUUACAAAAUACUAUUCUCUUCUUCAUAUGAUAUGACCCACAAACAAUGCACUUCAGUAACAGUGUGCAUACACCAUAAUAUGCUUAAGCAACUUCGAUUUGAAAUUAAUUACUUGAGACUCCACAAUGCACUGUUUUUAGUGUGUAUGAUUCGUUAGGAGCACAUGUUACUGCAGCACUUAUUAGGCUAUAUCUCAUACAUUUCCAUUCAAAUCCCAUGUUUGUUUAAAAGUUUAGUAUCACUUCUGCAUAAUUGAUAUCUGUAUAAGCUCGUAUGCUAUUAUACAGUUAUACCCUCUCCUUGUGACCUUAACUACAAAGUCUUUCCGGAUAAAUAUGUUCAAAGCAAUAGAUUACAACUCACCUUAUAAUAGGAAAUAUAUGCUCUCUAGUCUAUGAGAUUAGUGUGAUCAUGUUUUCAUGCCAAGCUUCGGACAUUUAUCAGGUCUUUUUAGUAAAUUCAAUCACCCUACUUUAGCAUUCUAGCAUUGUAGGAGAUUCGUAGAGUUAGUGAGUCAUCAUAUUUCACAAAGUUUAUGUAAUCUAGCCAUUAGUUGAGGUCACAGUAUCACACAAAAUAUAUACACAAAUGCUAGAUGAAGUGAUAACUUUACUAUACAUAUGUUGAAAUCAAAACAACCAAGUCAUAACAAAAAGAUAGUUCAGGACUUUGAUCUCAUAUAUGAAUCGAAUAACAAUUUGUUGUCAAGGCUCAGUCUUAGAGUAUGUUACCGCACUUAAGUUCCAUAGCAAGAAGGGAAGUAUAGACUUCUAUAACUAGAGGCUGAACCAAGAGGUUUUUCUCUUAAAACUUUUUGCAAAUUCACUAAAUAUAAAGAAGCUCAAGUGAAGCUUUCUGCAAAGACCUCCUUUGAUCAUUAGGCAUCUUGAACAAUCAUUAUUUUAUCGAACAUGAUUUCUAUGUUUUGAAGGAUGCUAUAUGGAAAAGUGAAAGUAACUACUCACGAGUUAAGAGUUAACACUACUUAACAUGACUUCUCCUAAAAUUAGAGUAUGUAAUGAAACUUUUAUCGCACUAGAGUAAGAAGUUUUUUUCACAGUAAGAAGGGAAGUAUAUACUUCUGUAACUAGAUGCUGAACCAAAUUUUUUUGUUUGUGAGCCGUUUGAAAAUUUUAUGAAUAUGUAGCAAGGACAAGCUUUCUCUAAAGUCCUUCUUUGAUCACUUGGUAAAUUGAGCAAAUAUAUUACAACAUGAAACACAAUUUGGUAUGACUUUUCUUCUACCAUGUUUCAAGGGAUCCUAUCUGAGAAAGUAGUUAAUCACCAGAUUAGCCAUUAUUAAUCUGUGAUAGCCCUUGACCUAGAUAAUUAAGCUCCUGAUCAUUAUUUGAAGGAAAACAAAACCGAAAAAGAAUAAGGAUCAUACCAUAAAGAUGGUUAUAGGCUAUUUUUGUUGCCCCAACAGCACUAAUGCAUUCCAGAAGAGCUUUUAAAGUGCUCCGAGCUUUUAUUAAAAUAAGUUUAGCCCCAAGAGACUCAAGUGACUGCUGCAGAUGUAUGAGAGAUUGCUUGAGCCACCACCUCGAAACCCUUCCCGGGUAGAAUUGCCCUUCUUCCUGUGGACACCAUAUAAAAACAGGCAGAACAGAACCAUCUCUAGCAGCUGCAGCUAAGGCUGGAUUGUCAUCGAUCCGGAGAUCCCUCCGGAACCAAACAAUGGUCUUGCCAUCAGUAUCCAUCGUGUUAAGUGACCAGUUCUCCUAAUCCCGACGAAAAGAUCUUAUUAUAUCAUCAACACGUCAUAAAUUGUGUUAAGUUACCAGUUCUCCUGAUCCGACGAGGAGAUCUUAUUAUAUCAUCAACACGAUCAUCAUUUCAUGCAGCAAACUUGACGAUACUCAACAAGUAAACAAUUAUAUAAACUCUAAAGGCAAAAGAGAGAGAGCAACAAAUAAAGAGAAACAGCACUACGUAGCAACCAUAAUAAUUGGAAUAACGAAUUUGUAGCAGACAGGAGGAUUGUGUGACAUGUGACAAAGUUGCAGAAAUCUGAAAAAACAAACAACUCAAGAUCCCAACACAUAUGGUAAAAAAUAAUAUCCACACAAUGGAAGGACCACCACUAACAAGUUGACAAGAAAAAAACAAAUAAAGUAAGAGGUAUAUGUCCCAUGUGUGUUUUAUUGCAUAGAAAAUGACAGCAAAAAUAGGUGAAUAAUCCUCAUGAGUCAUGGGUCGAUGCCGAGACUACCCCCACUUGAUCACCAUCUUCUACUGUACAAUCUUCUUUGAGCAUUUUACUCUGCCCAUCUUUAUUUGGACACUUGCUUACACUAGUUAGCACUUGGCACUAGUGCUCUAAUAUUAAAUUGACUACCUGUAUAUGUCAUGUGAUAUUGCAACUUUAUCAUUAACGGGACGUACCUAAACCCGACUUCUGCUUUUAUAAGUUUGAAAAAGGAUUUAUUCUUUCGUUUGUAUAAAACGUCAAGAGUAAUUAUAAAAACUAGUAUCAUAAUUAUACCGUAAAUAUAUACAACAUUUUAUGCAAAAGCUAUGAUAAUAUUAUAAUUUUUCUUGAGAUAAAUAAUUUUCACAAGUAGAAACUAAUUUCGGUAUCAAUCUCAAUUUUUUUGUCAGGGUAUUAGCCUCAAUUUAAACAGAAAAUUUUUGUUAGUUUGUAAAAAUUAUAUUUAGAGGGUUCUAAUUUUAUGCUACGAUAUUUAUACUCUGAAAAAUAGAAGUCAGCGACUAUUCUAAUUUUGCUAUGGUUGUUCUGGCAAAACGUGUCAAUCUAAGCAACUGCAAAUUGCUGAAUCUUAUGUCGGUGACAGAGUCUCUCUAUGUCGGUAAAAAUAGGAAAUGUGAAUGAAGAGAAGUAGUACGAGUGUGAUGAAGGAUUAUCUCAAUCACGUGGGUGCCCCAGAUUAUCACGUGGGCUUGUUGGAUUCUUGUGAAACAGGUACACUCAAAUAAAUUAUGCCCAUGCCCUUUUGUCCCGUCAAAUAUAAAAUCAAACUGCACCAUAAAUCUUAAAAAAGUAAUUUUGUAAUUGUAUUCACAGUACUGGCCUCUCCUAGCGGUAAAAUUUAUCUAUGUAUAAGUACAUGUAUGACUGUAUGAGUAUGAACCAAUUUGAUUGGUUCAAAAUAACGUUCUUGGAAUAAUUUAAAAUAAAAGUUGAUGCCUUUUUAAUAUUCUGACGAAUUACCCAAAUGAGCGGUUAAGCAACAAUGACUGAAAGUUUCAGAGUAUCAUAUUGGAUGAAAAGGAGAUGUAUCAUAGGGGCCGUUUGGCUAAACUUAAAAAAAGUGAUUUUUUACUUAAAGUAAAGAAAUGGAGGAGAAGUGAGAAGUAAAAAAGUUAAUAAAGUGUUUGGAAAACAAGUAGAAGCUGUGAGAGAGAAGUUAGCAUUCUUAGCUUCUUAAAAGUGCUUCUGCUUCUUUACACAAACGGGUCAAGAAAAGUAGAAACCAGAAGUAGAAGCUACUUCCACUUCCCAAAGAGGCCCAUAUACUCGACACGGGCAUUUUAAUAAAAUAUACUCCCUCUGUCCCUUUGAAAAGGAGAUGUAUCAUAUACUCUCUUCCCGUGAUUAGUAUACAGUGACACGGGCAUUUUAAUAAAAUAUACUCCCUCUGUCCCUUUAUUUAUACUCUGAAAAAUAGAAGUCAGCGACUAUUCUAAUUUUGCUAUGGUUGUUCUGGCAAAACGUGUCAAUCUAAGCAACUGCAAAUUGCUGAAUCUUAUGUCGGUGACAGAGUCUCUCUAUGUCGGUAAAAAUAGGAAAUGUGAAUGAAGAGAAGUAGUACGAGUGUGAUGAAGGAUUAUCUCAAUCACGUGGGUGCCCCAGAUUAUCACGUGGGCUUGUUGGAUUCUUGUGAAACAGGUACACUCAAAUAAAUUAUGCCCAUGCCCUUUUGUCCCGUCAAAUAUAAAAUCAAACUGCACCAUAAAUCUUAAAAAAGUAAUUUUGUAAUUGUAUUCACAGUACUGGCCUCUCCUAGCGGUAAAAUUUAUCUAUGUAUAAGUACAUGUAUGACUGUAUGAGUAUGAACCAAUUUGAUUGGUUCAAAAUAACGUUCUUGGAAUAAUUUAAAAUAAAAGUUGAUGCCUUUUUAAUAUUCUGACGAAUUACCCAAAUGAGCGGUUAAGCAACAAUGACUGAAAGUUUCAGAGUAUCAUAUUGGAUGAAAAGGAGAUGUAUCAUAGGGGCCGUUUGGCUAAACUUAAAAAAAGUGAUUUUUUACUUAAAGUAAAGAAAUGGAGGAGAAGUGAGAAGUAAAAAAGUUAAUAAAGUGUUUGGAAAACAAGUAGAAGCUGUGAGAGAGAAGUUAGCAUUCUUAGCUUCUUAAAAGUGCUUCUGCUUCUUUACACAAACGGGUCAAGAAAAGUAGAAACCAGAAGUAGAAGCUACUUCCACUUCCCAAAGAGGCCCAUAUACUCGACACGGGCAUUUUAAUAAAAUAUACUCCCUCUGUCCCUUUGAAAAGGAGAUGUAUCAUAUACUCUCUUCCCGUGAUUAGUAUACAGUGACACGGGCAUUUUAAUAAAAUAUACUCCCUCUGUCCCUUUAUUUCUUUACGGUUACUAUUUUGGGAUGUCUCUUUCAUUUCUUUGGGUUAUUAUAAUUAAUAAAUUUUUUUCAUCAUUACACCCACUACUUUCCUCCACUAUCUCGAAUCUAUUAUUAAAUAUUAAUAGGUCCCACCAUUUUACCCAUUUUUUGUCUAACUUUACUCAUUUUUUAUACAUUGUCUUGGUCUCCGUGUCCCCCUCCAAUAUAAACAAUUGACGGGGACGGAGGGAGUAAUUUUAUAAUUUUUUUUAUAUUUUACAUUUUUGGGUAAGAUGUAAUAUUUAAAUUGAUAUUAAAAAGAAAUUUAAAAAUAAGUUAUAUACUAUACCUACAAAAAUAUUAAAAUUAAAUCUUUAUCGAAUAUUGAAAAAGAAAAUAGGAGUAUGUAUUUUGUUGAAAGUUGUUUCAAACAAAACUGAGGUAUAGAAAUAACCAAACUGACAGCAAGUUCAAAUUCUAAAAUCUUGACCAAUUAUUCUGAAUAUUAGUUUAGGCCUCCGGGCGAGCACAAGUUAAUAUUACAUAAAAUUUACUUUCUCAGUAAUUUGUAAUUAUUAUUUUCUAUAUUUUAAUAUGUAAUUUAAUUUAAUUAUCUAUAUUUACAUUUAUUCAUAUCUUUAAAACUUUAAUAGGAAUCAAAUCUUAAAUAUUUAUCUAAAUUUCGGUUCACAUGUGAGUUGAAAAUUUUAACAACUGCGGUGAAAAGAAAUGAUAAGUUUUACCUUCAGGCAGAGAACAUAGGCAUCUACGGCUUGCAGCGAAGGAGGAGGGGAAAAAAAGGAAGGAGAGAGAAAACAAAUGUAUUUUAAUUAUUUUUAAAAUUUAAUAUAAAAUAUCGAAUUCUAAUAAUUUUAGACAUUAAUAGUUAUUUUCAUCUUCAACAACAUUUUUAUGUUCAUUAUUAUGUAACAUUUUAUCAUGAAAAGAUAUUAUUAUUACAAAAAAUGAAAAGUGAGAGUGUUUAUUCACAGGGGCCAUUUAGACAUUUAAAAAAGAUGACUUCUUACUUAAAAUAAAGAAGUGUAUUCGAAGUGAGUGGUAAAUAAGUUAAUAAAAUUUUUGGAAAAAAAGCCUCUGUGAGAUUCAGAGAUAUGUUAGCAUUCUCAGCUUGUUAAAAGUGCUUCUGCGUAUUUACACAUAUGGGUUAAGAAAAACAGAAGCACGGACGCAGCAACUGCUUCAGUGUUAAACAAACAAGGCCUAUAUAUACUACGCUGUGUGAUAGAAUAUAUUUUAAAUAUAUUCUAGAUGAUUUUAUUCUCAUAUUUAAUUGUAUUUUGCAUUGAUUUGGAUAAUUAUUUAAUAGAUUUUAAUGUUUUAUUGUAAAGUGCAAGGAAUUCCUAAAGUUGGAAAGAUUUGAAGAAAUGAAUCUUAAUUGGACACAAAUUUGGAUGGAAAUUCGGAUUUAUUGGGCUACACAUAUUAUUUCGCUGUUUUGGCCAUAUCUGGAGUUCCGUACAUCGGAUUUUGAUGAUCUUACAGCCCACGCGAAGCUUAGAGAAUUUUCUUCAAUUCAGAGAUGGUCCAAUAUCCAAAACCCAACUGGAAAAGCCCAGAAACUGUGGAGAAAACAGACCUACGAAUUUUAAUUACAGAAUCCUAUUCGGUUUCGGAGGCUGCCUUGUAAAUUCAUUAAAGCAUUAAAAUACUUUUAUUCUAGGAGAUCAAUAUUAGUUUUUAUCAGAGAUACAUAGAUAGAGAUAUAGAGAGAAGAUAAGAGACUUUUACUUUUCUUCUUGUUCAAGAUUUGAAGAUUGAAAGUUUUUCUUCUAUUCUUAAUAAUAGUUUAAUUAUGCGUUUUUAUUACAUCUUGUGUUUUGUUAGUUUAAUUAUGAGUGAGUAGAUCUAUAAUCCGGGGUUAAGUUGAACCCUAACUAUGAUAGAUGCAUGAUUCUCCCACCCCAAACUGAUUGUUUAAUUGCUCUUGCUUAUUGAGUUGUGCUGAUUAACAAUUACAUGUCAGGCAUGAUUAUGUGAUUUGUUUGAACCAAUAUCUAUUUACCUUCAGAAGUUGGACUUAGAUGGUUGUGAUUUAUCCAAUAAGGACAUGAAAUUCUCCAUGGAAAUAGGUAGAAUGGAUUGUUAGGAAGCCAGGAUGUUGUGUUUAAUGUCUCUAAAUUGCAUGAUACCAUGGAAAUAGGCUUGAUUGUAUUGUUAGAGAAGCCAUUAAUACUCGGAAGAGGUUAAUGGUAUUUUAUAGGGCGCAUCUUUCCUCUUGAGUAAUAUAUUUGAUUGAUUGGGGUAGGGAAUCGUAAUUGCAUUGAUUCAUGCUAGUGGGGAUACUUAAUUCUGGAUGUUUUUAAUUAAUUGAUAAAAUCCUUAUUUGCCUUAGUAUAAUUAGUUUAAUAAAUCUCAAAAUAUUAUUGUGUUCUUUGAUUAGUUGAAAUUGGUCAGAAAUAACUAGUGUUUGACACAUUUGUCUCUGUGGGAUCGACUCUGACUUGCCCUGCUACAUUGUUAGGAGGAAUUGUUAGAAUUAUUAUUUGAUAGGUAUACGACAGCCUUGUCACUUGGCUCUUGCAUUCAUCAGAUUAAGNNNNNNCUUUUAAGAGUUAAUUGCAUUUGGCACCUCUUUAAUUUCAGCAUGUUGCACAUUGCACCUAAUAGUUUUGGAAUAAACACUAUGCAGCCCCUUACUUUUAACCGGUAGACACUUUGCACCCUUUCCGUUAUCUUCUGCCGUUCCCGUUAACUCUUAAAGGGGCAUUUUGGGAAAUUUUAUUAUAUUUAAUUAAAAUCAGACUUUUAUUAAAUUUUCCGACCAUCUAAACGAUAUUUUUCGGAAAUCUAUUUUUCAGUAGUCUGUAAUAUAAUAGUGAUCUGUGUCUAUAUCUUUAUAUGUAGUACUCCAUAUGUGUCCUAGGUAGUUUAUCUUAGAGGACGAUAGUACAGAUUUUUUUUACUCAGAAAGGAAAUCUCAAAAUUAACUUAUGGAACUAUAUUUAUAAAAAGUGGGAACCUUAAAAUACGUGAUCAGUAGUGGUAAAGAACUAUAAAGUCAAGUGAUACUAUAUUUUUGUGGAGUCUUAAAAUAAUUCAUAAAACAAAAUUUUUUAGGUUCUUGAAAUGCCUGUUAAACUCUCGUACUUCAAGGUAAACUAGCUAAGGGACAUAUAGAUGACUGUAUAUAAUGUUAUAGACACAUAUCAUAUUACCAUAAUAUUGCAGACUACCACUAUGUUUUUAUAAUGCUAAAAAAAUAACAUAUUGUUAAUAAUCAAAUCAAAACAUAACGUUAGUGACAAAAAAAAAUCCAACGUUUUUUUAAGGAAAAAAAACCAACAUUAAAUUUUAUUCAGAAAAAAUAAAAUAAAAUAAUUUUUGAAAUUUUUUGGAGUCUCAAAAUGCGUGUCCAACUCUCGUCCUCCAAGGUAAACUAUCUAGGACACUACAUAAAGAUAUAAACACAUAUCAGAUCGCCAUUAUAUUGCAGACUAACACUAUAUUUUAAUAAUACUAAAAAAAUAACAUAGUGUUAAUAAUCAAAUCCGAACCUAACGUUAGUGACAAAAAAAAAAUCCGAACCUAACAUUAGUGACAAAAAGGAAAAAAAUUAUAGUUCAGUGGUAAGUUUCUAAACAAAUAAUAAGUUGGAUGGCAAAAAAAUCUAUUUUCCCAUUAUUAUUUGAGAGGUAUACGACAGCCUUGUCACUGUGCCAAUCAUUUCUUUACUAUUUUAUUUUUGGAUGUUUCAUCCAAUUUUUUCCAUUUCAAAACUUAUCAAAAAUAAUUAAUGGAUCCCACCACAUUCCCAUUUUUUGUCCUUUUACACACAACUUUUACUCCACUAUCUUCUUUUUAUACACUGAAAAUCAAUAAGUCCCAUCACUCAUCCAUUUUUCAUUUCAUUUUCACUACUUUAUACAUAUUUUUUAAUCUUCGUAAGACCGUGACCAAAUCAAACAUAAACAAUUGGGUAGACGGAGGAAGGAUAAAAUAUGAGCUAGUAGGAUAGGUUAGCUGAAACAUAAGAAAUGAUAACAAGACUUAUAGUUUAAGAGAUAAUUAAACUAUUCGAAUAACUUUAAAUGGCCAGAAUACCAAAUUUUAAAACUUCCCUUUCAUUUGCAAUUUUAAACAGCAUGGGACUAUUUAGGCUUUGAUUUGGGCCUCUUGCCCAUUGUAGUUUAAGAUUUUUGAUUUUAAGCACAAGCCGGUUUUGGAGAUGCAACUAAAACUAUCUGUUUGUUGCUUGCAUGUUACAUGUGUACAGCACUACAGCGUCACUUUUACCAUAUUAUUAUUAAAUUUAUAUAUUUUAUAUUUUUAAGAGAUAUAUCUUUGAAUAUUACUCCAUCCGUCCUCCUCAAUUAUUUACGUUGGGGGACGGGAGCUCGGCACACAUUCUAAUACUCUCAAAAAAUAUAAUUUGAUAAGUUGUUUUGAAUUUUUUUCCCCUCGGAAUAAAUAUUUACUAUCUAAACUUUUAUAAAAAAAAAGAAAAAUUUCAAAAUGAAGUUAGUGAAACUAUGUUUGAUAUGCUCUUAAAAUUAUGUGUGUCGAGCAAUGAAAAAAGUUUAAAGAAAUGAGAGGGACAGAGGGAGUAACUAAUAAUUUUUAAAAAUUUUAUUCAUUAUAAUACUAAUAUAUGUCUAAAAUAUAUUUAUAUAUUAUAAAUUCAAGUUCCUUGGAGUACUCACAUUUACCGGAGUAUUGGAGUCCAAGAUCUAGACCGUCCAUUUAUAAUCUAAACUAAUGUUGUGUUUGGUUGGGGAGAAUGGAAUGGAAUGGAAUGAAAUGAGUAAAAAUACUUGAAACUAAUAAAGAUAGGAAGAAAAUUUUGAAAAAAAAAUGAGGAAGUGCAAAAUAGCUAUGAUGAUGAGAUUUGAGAAGAAAUUGAGGAUGUGGAGAAUGGAGCAUUCCAUCUCAAAUUGAAGGUGUGAAAUGUAGCACAUGAUAUAAGGAAUGGAAUGGAGGAAUGAAUGAAUUUCUUGAAAAUUGUCCAUAAAAUAGUUCAUUUUUCAUUCCAUUCCUUCCGGAAUCAUUCACCCCAACCAAACACAACACAAGGGUUCAUAUAAUUCUAUAUUUUAACUUCUUUACUUAUUUAAUUAUUGAUAUCGUUGGUGUAUAUGAAUAACCAACUCCGACAGUUGCACAGAAACAUGCAUUGUUCAAUGCAGUCGCCUCACCUAUAAACUUUGUUUUGUUCAGCGUUCUUGUAUCUACGUAAAUAUGAUUUAUGUAGAAGAAAUACGUAAACAUGGAGACUUCUUCGUUUCCCUUAAAUUAAAAAUUUUAAAUAACCAAAACCCAUUCAGAACAUUCACUAUAAUGUAUUACAAUUUCAUUAAUCAUUUUAAGAGAUAUAAUUUGAUCAUCAUGUUAUACAAUCAAAAAUUCUUUAAUCACUAUCAUUUAGUUCUGUAAAAUUUUAUCCUUUAAUUCCGCAAAAUUUUAUCCUAUUUGCUUUCGGGCUCCUCCCAAAAGGCCUCAUACUAAUGGAGUUCUUUGGCUGCUUAUAUUCAAGAUAAAUCUUCUUUAUUUUUCCGAUUUAGGACUUGGGUUGAACCCAUUCAACAAUCUCCCCUCAAUCCAAGAACCACUAAUCUUGUGACCCUUAUACCGCCGCUACUCAUCGGUUCCUCAUCUUGCGGGACACGCCGUCCGACCACCUUUGUCGGAAAGACUUUCGACACAAGCCGUCCAAGAUCUCCAAUCGUAGUUCUGGAGAGCCUCCCCCACAUCACACAACUGCAGCCCGCAACCCCAGGAUCAACUUCUUAACCUCGCUCUGAUACCACUUGUUGGGCCGCGCAACACCCUUUAACUCCGCAUUAGUAUGAUAUUGUCCGCUCUGGGCCGUGGCCAAGCCCGCACGGAUUUGCUUUCGGGCUCCUCCCAAAAGGCCUCAUACUAAUGGAGUUCUUUGGCUGCUUAUAUUCAAGAUAAAUCUUCUUUAUCUUUCCGAUGUGGGACUUGGGUUGAACCCACUCAACAAUAGCCACACUAAAAAAAUAAAUAGAAAUUAUAGUUUCUGACUUGAGUUUUGCUACGGACAUAUCCCUAAAUAUUGAUCUCUGCUUUGCAAAAAAUAUGGGUGCAGAACGGGAAAUUCUCUUGAACAAUAAAACUGAAACUCCUAGGCUAGAUGGUGUUCUGAUGUAACUGUUUAAUAUCAGUUAUUAAUGCACAUAAAAGAAGUAAGAAAAUUUAAGAAAAUAAAAUAACGUGGACCGUUAGAUCAGACUAUAAUGGAUGGUCUAGAUCUUGGACUCCAAUUCUCCAAAAAGUGAGUACUUCAAGAAACUUUAUAUAUUAAUUAGUAUAUAUUAAUAUAUUGAUGUAAUUAUAUAUUAACUCGUUAAAGCAGUGAAUCAGGUGAGAAUAUUUUGUUUGUAAGAAUAAUGAGAACAAUUGUUCUGCACUGUUUAGAAAGUGCAGAACAAUUGUUUUAGAAAAUUUUCACUUUUUGAAUGUUGUAUUGUUCUGCAACAGAACUGUUCUUAUGCUAAAAAAAUUUCUCCACUCAGCGCAACCCUAUUCGUUAAUAUAUAUGUAUAUAUAGAUAACUAUUUAAAAAAUAUUUAAAUUUAUUUUGAAAUAAGAAUUUAGUUUCAAUUUUUGAGAUUUGACCCAGGAAUCCAAUUGAUUUACCUCACCAUAUGCACAGUAUUUCAUAUAUGUCAAUAUAUUAGUUAAAUAUAUCAACAAGCUAUUGAUUAAAUUAUUAGCUUUGAAUUUUUGUGUUAGGUCAAUUAUGCUAUAGACAAAGGAAAUAAUAGUCUAAAUCUCAAUCUUAAACUUGCUCUUUAGUCAAUUUUAUACAUAUAGUCAAUAUCCAAAGUUAUGGAAGUCCAAGUCGUUUCAUCUUGUAUCGCGGUUUACUUGACGUUAUUGUUUUUCGUUUCAAAAUAAGAGGCGUUCUAAUAUUUUAUACAUAAUUAUAUCUUAAAUUAAAUAUAAAAAAAUUUAAAAUGAUUAAAAAGAGGUAAUGAGAAGAUAAAAAGAGAAAAAUAACAUAACAAAAGAAUAUAAUGUGGAAUAAGUAAGUUACAAGAACUUGGUGCGCCCUAGUCUACUCGUGGCAAGUUAGGAUGCAUGAUGCAUCACACAUCGUAAACACUAGCCUAAAUAUGAUAACUAAGAGAAAUAAAUCAAAUAAAUGGAUACUUAUAUACAUACAGUUAAAAGUUUUAGAACAUGAAGAAAAUGAAGAUUAGAGUGUUUAAAUCUAGCAGAUUACACGGUGAAAAUCUAAAAAGAUAUAUGAACAUGUAUCUUAAGAUGAGUGGAAUCAAAUUACGGUGACGGAAUUGACAAGGGUAUGCUUGAGUUGCUGAAAAAGCUUAAAGAAGUCUGAUGGUGGCGUGAAGAGAGGAAGAGAGGGGGAAACUUAAAGAUGAAAGAAAAUAAAGAGAUAAUUAAAGAAUAAACAACUCUGUUCGUACGCACUAAAAAAUAUCUCUAAAAAUGAAUGAAAAAUAAGAAAACAAUUGUCAACCGAUUAAUGAAUUCUAACUGUCAAUAACAUAGGGUGCGCUAAGUUAAAGGUUGCCUAUAAUUCACUGUAUAUACAACAAGGUGCAAUAACGGAAACAGAAAGAUGGAUUUUGUUAUAAAAAGUUAGAUAUCACCAACAUUUCCGAUGUCACCGGGAUCUGAGGGUAGUUGUUAUAUACUCGAAAUGUGGUUUGGACUUGCUUGAUAGGACCUAAAAACUGAAGAUAUUAUGUUUAGGAUGAGACUUUGUCAUAAUUGGGCUGUUCAGUGAGUGGGCUCACCACUUAUCCAAUGCCUUCAGGGAAGACACUUGGAACAAUUUAACAGGGAAAUAAUUUAUAUGAAAAUUCGAAGAGAAAGAGAAGUCCUUUUAUGCUUAGCGGGAUAUCUAUAAAUAUAGAUGAGUUAUGUCGUCAAGGUUGGAAGAUCAUGUUCUCCGUAUUCCACUGAGCCAUUCUCAUCGGGGAGUAUUAAGAUAUUAUUGAGAGGGUCUUGCUCU